AGGAGGCAGUGACCUUUGAGGAUGUGGUCGUGAACUUCAGCAAUGAGGAGUGGGCUUUGCUGAGUCCAUCCCAAAAGAACCUCUGCAGAGAUGUGAUGGGUGAAACCUUUAGGAACUUGGCUGCAAUAGGAGGACUUGGGGAUAUCCAGGAAGCUAAAAAAGAAUGCAAGAUUUACUGGAGAUACUUAAGAAAUGACAAGCUAGGGAAGUCCUAUGGAUAUACAUCUUGGAAUCAGUGUAAAGAAGUAUUCCUUUGUACUGCAGAAGGUAAUGUGAAUGUGAAAGAAACAGAAGCACACCACAAUGUUCAGAUCCAUAAAAAAU